rnacentral:rRNA from 1 species
GAUGAACGCUAGCGGCAGGCUUAAUACAUGCAAGUCGAGGGGUAACAGGGGUAGCAAUACCUGCUGACGACCGGCAAACGGGUGCGGAACACGUACGCAACCUUCCCAUAACAGGUGAAUAGCCUUCCGAAAGGGAGAUUAAUACACCGUAACAUAACGAUGAGGCAUCUCAUUGUUAUUAUAGGCUUCGGCCGGUUUUGGAUGGGCGUGCGCCUGAUUAGGUAGUUGGCGGGGUAACGGCCCACCAAGCCUGCGAUCAGUAACUGGUGUGAGAGCACGACCAGUCACACGGGCACUGAGACACGGGCCCGACUCCUACGGGAGGCAGCAGUAAGGAAUAUUGGUCAAUGGACGAAAGUCUGAACCAGCCAUGCCGCGUGAAGGA